CUCAUACAGAUACUGAGACCCGUUCCCCACUCGGCUUUGUGUUCUUGGUCUCUACAAUACAGUAGAGCUAUUCCUCACUGAAAUCAACAAACAUCUGGUGGUUCAUACAAAAUAGAAAAAAAUGAGUGCCAAUAUCCCAGUUUCCGAGGUCCAGUUACAAAAGCUUGCAGCUGAAUUUCCCCAUGACAAGUAUGGCCCACUGUGCUUGGCGCUUGGGGGCACUUCAAACCAGGCCCAGAACAGAUUGGUCAAACUCAAUAACGAUUACCCCAAGGCAGUCAUGGAGGUCCUCAUUGCGUGGAAGAAUCGUACAGGAGGUUAUAUGACUGAAUUAACCAAGGCUCUUAAAGAGAUUGAAGCUGGCGGACUUAUACCUAUUCUAAAACAGCUUUAAUUUUCCACAAAGUGUCUACAUCCAAAAGAUUCCCCAGCAUUCGAAAUUAAAACAUUGGGGAAAAAAUAAUGUCCACUUUGCUUUUACAUUCUUUUACUUACCCAAGCCAUUGUCGCAAUUUUAAUCAGCUCUUGCGAAAAUGGCUCCUACACUAACCGUAUUAACUUGAACCCUGUGCUGUUGUAUCUCACACUAACCUAACCCUGAACCUCAAAAUAAAACUAAAAUUAAACCCAAAUCUAAACCUUAACCUAAACCUAAGACCGAAUUGCAAUCUUAAACCAGACCCAUUGCAUUUUCAGCAAUAAAUCCAAGAGUGAUUGAGGCACACUCACACAAAUACACACGCAAUAACACACGAGAUACCACACAAAAAACUUUGUGUGUCACCUCCUGUAGCGUGCGAACAUUAUUGCAUACUUUAAACCUGAUUUCUUUACAAUGAGGUAGUAAAAUUGCCCUCAGGUGUGAAUGUAUGAUUUCUUACACAACAAAAUCGAUCGUGAUAUUGCUAAAUUUUCGGUUCCUUUCAUUAACAUAAAAAUAGAUUUUGGUCUGGAACACUUUUUAUCACAUUCCCUUACCUCCUUUGUACUGUUAUUUACUGUACUCUUAAACCUUCCACAACUCCUUGUUUUGAGUUUAUGUUCUAUGAACAACAAACGUUAAGUAGACAUUUAUCUGUUGAUUUGAGCUCGACAUUACGAUUUUUUCCUUCGUUCUAAUGC